UACGUAGGUGGCAAGCGUUGUCCGGAAUUAUUGGGCGUAAAGCGCGCGCAGGCGGUCCUUUAAGUCUGAUGUGAAAGCCCACGGCUCAACCGUGGAGGGUCAUUGGAAACUGGGGGACUUGAGUGCAGGAGAGAAGAGUGGAAUUCCACGUGUAGCGGUGAAAUGCGUAGAGAUGUGGAGGAACACCAGUGGCGAAAGGCGAGUUCUGGACAGUUACUGACGCUGAGGCACGAAGGCCAGGGGAGCAAACGGG
rnacentral:rRNA from 1 species